AAAAAAUCAAUUUUUGGUGAAAAAAUUCGAUACGGGGGGUAUACCCGAUAAAUGAAAAAUUCCAAACUUUGAAGUUCGAUAUCUCGGCUUCUAUUGGAGCUAUCGGGAAAAAUCCAACGGGUUUGUCUUAGUUUUGUCGUUCUGAAUCCAACGAGACCAUCCGCAAGGUCGUAGCUCUUCUAAUAGCUGAGAUAUGGCAUUUUUGAUGCCCAUUUUUGGCCUCAAAAACGGACGUCGAAAACGACUUUUUCACGAUUUUCAAAGUGCUCUCAUUCCCUUAAUUCUGCUCGGAUCCUGUUAUAACCCGGUGUUUUCAUAAUCUAGGUGACCCAAAUAAGGCGCUGGUAUACUUAGUUUGAUUUCGAAAAAAAUCAAUUUUUGGUGAAAAAAUUCGAUACGGGGGGGUAUACCCGAUAAAUGAAAAAUUCCAAACUUUGAAGUUCGAUAUCUCGGCUUCUAUUGGAGAUAUCGGGAAAAUUCCAGCGGUUUUGUCUUAGUUUCGUCGUUCUGAAUCCAACGAGACCAUCCGCAAGGUCGUAGCUCUUCUAAUAGCUGAGAUAUGGCAUUUUUGAUGCCCAUUUUUGGCCUCAAAAACGGACGUCGAAAACGACUUUUUCACGAUUUUCAAAGUGCUCUCAUUCCCUUAAUUCUGCUCGGAUC